rnacentral:rRNA from 1 species
AACGAACGCUGCCCGCAUCCCUAACACAUGCAUGCCGCACGAGUGGCCCACGGGUGCGUAACGCGUGGGAAUCUGCCCUUAGGCUCGGAAUAACAGUUGGAUACCGCUGCUAAUACCGGAUGCCUGAGGAUGAGCCCGCGUGGUGUUAGGUUGUUGGUGGGGUAAAAGCCUCCCAAUCCGACGAUCCAUAGCUGGUCGGAGAGGAUGAUCAGCCACACUAGGACUGAGACACGGCCUAGACUCCUACGUGAGACAGCAGUGGAGAAUAUUGGACAGAAGGCGCAAGCCUGAGGAGGGCAUGCCGCGUGUAUGAAGGAGGCCGGCGGGUUGUAGAGUACGGUCAGCGAGGAGGUUGUAGUUAAUAACCGCAGGAGUUGAGGUUAGCCGCAGAGGAAGCACGGGGUAGCUCCGUGGCAGCAGCCGCGGUAAUAC